GACGAACGCUGGCGGCGUGCUUAACACAUGCAAGUCGAACGGUGAAGCGCCUUCCUUUUUGGUGGGUGUGGAUGAGUGGCGAACGGGUGAGUAACACGUGAGUAACCUGCCCCCUUCUUCUGGAUAACCGCAUGAAAGUGUGGCUAAUACGGGAUAUUCUGGGUCUGUCGCAUGAUGGGUCUGGGAAAGAUAUUGUUUCGGUGGGGGAUGGGCUCGCGGCCUAUCAGCUUGUUGGUGGGGUGAUGGCCUACCAAGGCGGUGACGGGUAGCCGGCCUGAGAGGGUGGACGGUCACACUGGGACUGAGACACGGCCCAGACUCCUACGGGAGGCAGCAGUGGGGAAUAUUGCACAAUGGGCGCAAGCCUGAUGCAGCGACGCCGCGUGAGGGAUGGAGGCCUUCGGGUUGUGAACCUCUUUCGCCAGUGAAGCAGGCCUGCCUCGUUUGUGGGUGGGUUGACGGUAGCUGGAUAAGAAGCGCUGGCUAACUACGUG
rnacentral:rRNA from 1 species